UACCCUUUAAGGAUUGAGGAUUAUUGCAUGUC
rnacentral:piRNA from 1 species